ensembl:lncRNA
CAGAAGAGCAUACAGCGCCUGCCUACAGCUCAGAUUUGCCAAAAAGGCGCUAUGCUGAUUUGGAGAGACACAGAGGAGAGGAAUUGUUGAAUAAAGUCGUUAUUUUUUUUCUUCCUGUACAAAAAGUACUGUCUCGCUUCAUAACAUUACGGUUGAACCACUGAUGGCAGAUGGACUAUUCUGACGAUGCUUUUCAUACUUUCCUGGACCUUGACACUGUUAUUUACUUGGCAGUCUAUGGGACAGUCUCAAGCCUCCCUGUUUUCAUCCAAAAUAUCUUAAAUUUUGUUCCGAAGACGAACGAAGCUUUUAGGGGUUUGGAACCACAUGGGGGUAAGUGAAUAAUGACAAAAUUUUAACGCCGCCCAAAUGUUCAUGCAAAGAAAGAAGGGUAACUUUUAGUCUCCUGAUGCCCCCGCUGCCAUGUUGUGAAGACGCUGUGUUUUGUUGUAAAAGCUAAACUACUUUGUUUGGCCUUCCAAAAGAGGACACAACUAGAAAUCAGUGGUUAAGUUGUAAACAACACUGUUCCAGAACAGUUCAACCCAAAUAUACAGAUGUGUGCAGCGCAUUUUAUGGAGGCUAAGGACUGUUUCCUAAACCAGAACAAUGCGUCUGUGGAACAAAGGCUGUUUUUAUAAAGUGGGGCAGUUCCAACUUUGCAAGGACAGUCUGGCACUUCUGACUCACAACCUACGAAGACGUGUGUGCUGGGAUCAGUUCCGCGAUCAGACAUCACGUUGUGCAGAAGUGGGAGGGAAAGCAGUUCAAGUAAAAAAGAAGUCAACGUGUGGCUAAAGGAAGACUUCCUUGUCCUUUGCUUUCCCGAGGGGAAUUCCAAGUUGGUGAGCAGCGGGUACAAAGCGUGUGCGUCUGCCAAUUCUGGAUCACUGUACACACCCUUCUGUUUGACUGCAAAACAUUCCCGAUUUCUAUAGUUAAUGAAUACACCAUUGCGUGACCGUUUACUGAUUAAGUCGUGCCAUGUUCCAAAGUUAAAGACACAUAUUGAUGUCUCGACAUGUUUAAAAACAGAUAUCCAAGCAUGAAUUGAUUUCUAUUUUAUAUUUUUGGAAAACUUAAAGUGAAUAGCCUUUGAGUGUGUAUAGGCCCUAUACUGCUUAUCGUUUAGAAAUCAUGUUUUAUAUAUGAUACGAUUGUCCCUGAGCAGUUUACCAUUUUAUACAUGUGGAAUUGUUAAGCUCUUGAGAUAUCGCUACAUUAAAUGCAGUUUGUGGGAUUCAUGUUGUCUUUUUUUUAAUUUAGCUUCUUCUGAACUUCAGUAAACGGGGCUGCGACUUUCAUUCCAUUUUAUCUUUUGGUGAAAGUGUGUGAAAAUGACUUCUUGUUCCAUGAUCAGUUUGUGGUGUGAGAUAAAUCUUAAAUCAUCAAAUAUUCUUAUAAGAAACAACUUCUGCAAAUGAACUAAUUUUGUGAGCUUUAUAUUUAAUCAGUAAAGUGGUUGAAAAAGUGCAAUGCAUGCUUUGUUUUUACUUUACAAUAAUGAAGACGAUUAAACUUAUGUUUUCGGUGUGAGUUGACAUUUACAGUGUAUUUGUUAGGAGCAAAUAAAAAUGUUAACAGCUGUAGUUACAGGACAAAAUCUGUUUUUAUAAAUAACACAUUGUUAAGCUUUCUUCUGGUAUUUUUCAUAAUGUCGAAUGUUGAUAUACAAAACAAUAAAUGAGCCCUCAGUACCACAGCUGUAUUUCUCCGAUGUACAUUUCAAGAGUGAAAACAGAAACUGCACGCUGUAAAUCUGAAAUAUUUCCCCAAUGCCAGUAUAAUUACGAAAAAAAUAUGUUUAUUGUAGAAAAGAUAAAUGAAUAAUUUGUAAAUCAUGCAUUCUAUCACUGCUUGUUCUUUUAUCUAAUCUAAAAUACAACAAAUGCAUUCAAAUAAAUCAAUUAUGACACUGAAUUUUCGCGCAAAGAGCUUCAAAAUGCAUUUUAUAAGAAACACAUCUCUGAGUUUGAAGUAUCCCUUCUGAAAUAACUGUCGUCGCCAUAUGAAUACAAACAGUCUGAAGAGCCGUAGGGCGCAAACUCCGAGGUUGCCAUGCCUUCCUGCAGAUUGGACCAAUGCGAAAGACAAAAGCAAUUCUGUAGGUUGCAAUGCUGAUAGUGGUAAUUUUCUGGAGAGAAACUAGAGCUCAAAUCCAUCCGCGUUGGAGAGCUGUAGCACGAAGAAGAUGAAGAGUUGGACUGAGGGGGAGAGUAACUGUUGUAGUCGACUGGACUUGGGAGAUUGAAAGUAUCAGAGGGUGAUCUCGAUACCUGAGGAAAACAUUUUAAAAGCACCAAAAUUAUUUAUUAAAUAGGCCUACGCUGCACGCAUGAUUUUAUUUUUAGUGACAACAUACUUAAGCAUCAGAAACGUCCAAAUGCCAAAUGCCAAAUGCCAAAAAGGUUUACUAAAAAAUAAAAGUACCAAACACAUACCAGGCUAGUACCAUAGAGGUCCGUGUUAGAAGGAAUAUAUCCAUUAGACCACUGCGAAGAAGUGGGACACACGAAAUUACUGCCGCUGAAAGUCUCAUGUGGCAUCAGGUGCAUCAUUUGUUGAUGAUCAUAAGCAUUCUCCAUCGGGAUAUUGACAUUUUCGGUAAAGGGACGUGUCUGGAAAUAGGGCUCUGGAGCUUGCAUUCCAAAGACAUCAAGGUGGGCUGUGGGUAAGACAGAAGAAAAUACUGGCUUGAGCACAGGAGAACAUUUAAAUUAGGCCAGCAAGACUUGAGAUGAUGUCACGAGACCAUCAGCCAAACAGCUAAAUCACAUUUGAAUAGUAGUUUAUAAAAAGGAGAUCAUUCACGGAUCUGUAAGGAACACAUAGAUGUAGGUGUCAUUGUUGUUUUAUUUCUUUUUUCCCCUACAAGAUUGUAAAUGUAGAGCUGAUGCCUGGCGGUGGAUGAAAAGGGUUUCUAUUUUGGAAAAUAGUAAGUUGCAUGCAGUCAGUAUGAAUUCGUUUUGUCUUUGUCUCAGGUUUCCUGAUUAAAAUUCAAGCUCUUACAUGUUAGCAGGCAGAAGGUUUCUUAGCUACAUUUUCAAUAUCCACAAAAGGUGCUUGUAAGUUUACUGAAAUCUGAUGCUUUUGUAAACAGCUGUGUGAAAUGCCUUGACUACAUGGGACAAGAUUGAGAUUACUAUCAGUUAUCGCCGUCCAGUUAAUUUGUUAGUAUUUUAAACUUACUAUUCAUGGUCGUAGAGCAGACAUCGCGAGCAGCCAUGGCUUGUGAUUUCUGUAGGAUUGCAAUUGUAAAAGAGAGAGAGAAGCAAGGGAAAAUAUUCAUUACUGCUUUCGUUCAGUUGAAAAACAGUUAGUUUGUACAGUUAUGUGGUAUCGACUGAAACCUCGAGCACAGAUAGGCCUGAGGGGGCGUGGUGCUUUAAGACAUAUGCUUGGUGAUUAAAUUUGGUAUUGCACUGACCAGGCUUCGUUUUAGUUUGGCUACCAUAAACUUAUACGUCAGUAGUGUCUGACUUAUGAGCUUUAUUGGUAUUCAACACCAUUGUUUACCGUUGCGGUUUUCUGUGCCUGCAGGGCUCUGUGCUUCUGCAGUAACUCCUUAACAGUGGUCUUCACACGCACACCCUGGUACACCUUGGGCUUAUCUGCUAGAAUAAAAAAAAAGCCAGAAAGUUUUAUUUCAUUUUCAUUCACCACUGGCAUUAAUUUUAAAUAUUUUUGUCCAAAUUCAGAUUAUCUGUAAAGCAGUCUGUGCAGAAAAAAACAAAACAAAACACUAUUUUUAUUUUGCAUAAAGGAAAAUGUUAACGUAGCCUAUUGAUAUCAGAGUUUUUACAUUCAUCUUUUAUUUAAGACAAUAUUUCUGGGUCAGUGAAGUGACUUUUGCUUGGAUCUGAUAUGUCAAUAAAACACAAGAACUGAAUAAAUCUCUUCUAUGAAGAACAUGCAUUCAUUAUCUAAAUUUUGAUAUAGAGUACAUAUAUAUAAAUUAAAUAUUUUUAUUGGGGGAAAAUGAAUGUCUGUGUGGGAAACAAUUUAGUUGUUUUACGUUGUGUAAAAUGUGUUUAAAACUUGUGAAAAAAAAAAAACGAUCUGGUUGUCAAAAUGAAGUUGCAAGGAAAGUAAUAUUUUGCCACUUUUUACUUAAUGCAUUACACCACUUGUUAUUUUAGAGUCAUAAAACGAAAAUAUUAUAUAUAUAUAUAUAUAUAUAUAUAUAUAUAUAUAUAUAUAUAUAUAUAUAUAUAUAUAUAUAUAUAUAUAUAUAUAUAUAUGUAUGUAUGUAUGUAUGUAUGUAUGUAUGUAUGUUUUUAAUGAAAAUGAAUGAAGCCACAUCAAGUCCUUGGCACAUCUAUUUAGUAGAUCUUUAGAAUAUUUCUCCUAUUUAUAAUCUUUGACAUCCUUGUCACUGCCCCUCUACAUGUUUCACCAUCCACAGAUAGCAUUUGCUUUUUUCCAUAUGCCAUUGAAAAAACGCCAAUAAGUAGCUAUAAGAUAAGAUAUCACACAAGAUUAAAAACUAUGCCCGUCUUCCCAGUUAAGACUGCAUUUGUCUGAGCGCACAGUCCGGCAGUGAAUGGGUUAGUUUCGGAUUACAAUAGACUGUAGAGAAUUUCGAGAAACAUGCUCUCCAGCCAUCUUUGCCUCGGGACGACGGUUUUAAUUUGGAGUUCGAGCAGUGUAGUUUCUUGUAGCUGUACAUUAAAACCCGACUAAACUGGCGAGUAGCCUAAUCUAGCCUAAUUAUUGACAGUUUUACUCGAGAGCACAAAGGCGCACAAAGUUGGGUUCGUGGGAGCGAAGUGAAAACACUGUAAACCUCUGCUUGCGAGACGAGGAGAAAGAGAAGCUUCCUCUGUAGACGCCUCUACGAAUGACAGCCGUUGCUGAAGAAGAAAACAUCUUACAUGAAAGAAAAAUAAAUUUUUACUUACCAGACAUAUUGGUCUGAAAAGGAGGAAAUCUCUGGCAGAGCUACAGUAAAAUACCCCAACUUCAGUUCUUUGCUCUGUUAUAUGGGCAAGAACGAAUUAUUCACAAAAGUCUUAAAAAGUCUCAAUAAAGUAACCUCAAAACACUCUCAGGACAUACAAUUAUACAGUAAUAUAGCUAGGGAUAUUUUAGUUUGAGUUUUUCUGCCCUCAUCCCUACUAUUUAAAACCCCAAGAACUCAAUGAUUUGACAAUGAUUUGAUUGCGCGAUACUUUCAAUUUGAAUAUUCAAAGGCUUCGUAAAAAGACUUAUUUCUGAGUGAUAUUCGCUAUUACAGUGCAUAUAACAACAUCUCUUUUAAUAGAAAGUUGUGUUAUUUCACAUUUUGACAUCCACCAAAUAUAUAUUUUUAACAUUUUAUCAUCCUUUUGGUGUUGGUGGUUGGAGUCUCACUUAGAAGCACUAUUUCAACUUUGCAGUGAGACUGAAGGCUCAAAUGAAGUUUUACAUGCCAUGGCACAUUGUAAAUAUCUUCUGUAAUAGGUAGUCUUGUCAAAAAAAUUAAAUAUUGCGACUUGUGGGUCAAAUUUAGGUAGUAUUUUAAGGAUUAUUGAGUGGUGGGCGUGGCAUAUGAUAGCAGCCAUGUUUGUCAUCAGAACAAUUGGGACAUCUGCUAAAGUCAAGUUAUUAGGACAGUGGAGGCAGGUAUAAAGAAUAAUAUGAAAUAAAUUCAGUUAUAAUUAUAUAUUUAAUUGAAAGGGUCCUCGGCAAUUCUUAAAAAUCAAAAGCCAAGUUAACUGAGACUUAAACGAUCAGUGUUCACAAUAAUAUUUAUUAAUUUCUUUUCUCAGGGUAUUUUUGUUUUAAUGCAACAGUUUAAUUGAUCAUUGCAUAAUUAUCAUCAUUGAAAUCCUUUAAAAUAAAUAUAUAAGAAAGGUUUUGUUUGAUGCUGAGUGGUGCUGAUCUCAAACAGAAUCUCACACACCUGACUUUAGUCACUUUUAUUUAUGAAAUAGCCCAUAUUAAAAUGAAAAGUGACACAUUUACAUUUCGAGACCUCUGAAAUCAUAAUGCCGUUGUUUAUUUACACGUGUCGAGUAUUUAAGACUGAACGCAUGUAGAAUGAUUAACCUACAUGCAGAUGUUCUUUGUCUUAGAAGAGAAGUCCGAAUAUGGCUCCAUGUGACAUGUAGUAUACAGACAAAUUGAAAAUUUCGUUCGAAACGGAAGAAUGAUUAGAGAUUUAAGUAUUAAAUAAAUAUAUAUAUAUAUAUAUAUAUAUAUAUAUAAAUAUAUAUAUAUAUAUAUAUAUAUAUAUAUAUAUAUAUAUAUAUAUAUAUAUAUAUAUAUAUAUAUAUAUACACACACACACACACAGAUGGGAUAGCCUGCUUUAUAAAUACGUCUUCAAACACCUCUUAAUUUAAGCUCGUCUCGGCAGAAUAUGUGAAAGAAUAUGCCUUUGUGAAAUUGUUUUGUGACGUUAAUCCGCUGCAAAUAGACCUCCAGUUUCAAAAUAUUGUUUUCUUACCAGUCUUUAUCAGUCAAAUUUUAUUAAUAGAUCUUCCAUAACCCUAAGAAAAUCUCGAAGACUUUAACCGGGUUGAGGAGGUCUGUUACUACGAGAUAGUUGAAUGUCGCCCCCUGCUGAUGAAACAGGAGAACUUCAGGUCAUGUUGCAAUAGGGUUGCGCGUAACUAUUUCAUCUGACUCAGUUUAUUUGAAAUAAAGCAUAACUAGUUUAUUUGGCAAUAAAUGUAAUGCACUUUCAGCAACUUCUUCAAACUUUUCACACGCAGAGAGCAAUUCUAUUGCUUAAAAUAAUAAUAAUAAAUAAAUAAAAUCAAAUAAAAAGUUAAAUAUAUUGCUAUUGAAUAUGACUAUUGAAUCAGUAGCCUACUCUAAUUUAAAGAAAUCUGCUUUAAAUUAUUGCCUGUAAGCUUUCAACUUGAUAGCAGUUUUAUUGUUUAUUAUUAUUAUUAUUAUUUAAUUGUGAAUAUUGUGAAUUAUGGUCUGAUUUGUGCUCUAAUUUGAGCAUUCCUCCUGAAAUUACCUUUUUUUAACUUAAAAAAAAAAAAAAAAAAAUAUUUGUUAUUAUAGAUCAAUCAAAUUUAGGUCAAUUUAGUAGCUUUAUAUGGUAUAUUGUAUGUACAUAAAAAGUUCCUGACAGACUAUUACUUUAGAAUUGAACCGACUUACAUCUCUUUAUCUAAAAAAAUGAAUAAAGAAAUACAAUAAAAAAGAAAAGAAAAGAAAAAGAAAUCUUUUUUUAUGUAUUUUUCCUAAUCCUCUAAGUCAUAUUUUAAUAAAUAUGAGUAUAUUAUGAAUAUAUCAAUGAAAAACUUGUUUUAAUGUUUUUGUUGUCCUGAAAAUGUUUGUAUUUAAUCAUUCAAUAAAAUGUCG